CAGUGCACGAGAUUACGCGCACGUAGAGCAUCUCGGUGACGAAUCAACUCAAUCAUGUCAGCGACCGCUGUGCCAAAGGUGUUGACCCCGCAUCCUGCGAAACUAGCCUCUGAUGUUUUCGUGGCGGCGGCGGCUACCGCGGCCACCAAGGCGGCGUCCGCUGCCUCUGGCAGCGCAGCAGCUGCCUCAGCUGCACCGAUUGAGCUCGUCACCAAGGAGCUGCUUCAACUCGCUGAAGAGCUUCGCGUCGUCGUGCCACAGGGCACUUGGAUGAGUCAAGGCAGCGAGGAGGAAAUUCGAAAGCGAACUGACAAAGACGCUGUGGGUGCACCGGCCAUACCGAGUCGCCUACCCAUCACGGUCCACUUCGAGGUUGCGCGGCACGCCAUUCUGCGUCACCGCACUUCGGCGCACAAGAACUACGUCACAAAGGAGGCGAGCGAGGACAGCCGCGACCUGCGAUCAGUCGACAACCCACUUUACGAGGUGAUGCGCGACGAGGUGGACACCGGCGUGCAGGCCGUGCCACGGCGGACGGUGGCCUCGACGCAAACGCACCACGCCCGGCGCGUGAAUGCGGUGGCGCAGGCAGAGCCGACAGCCGUGGAUGCGUGUAUCCGGCACGUGCCGCCGCCGAAGGAGGAGCAGCCGAACCUCCGCGCGUUUAUGGAGAAGGUCCUCCCGCGCACUCUGCUCUGCCUGACGCAGAACUACCAGAUUCCCAUCUACACUGACGACUUUCGCAACUUCACCGAAGACGACGCGGUCAUCGCCACGCAUGACGAGUUGGUCCUGAUCGAGAAAGCCAAUUACGUCCACAGCUCCACGAAAGGGCGGAAGGUGAGCGGGGUGAGCUGGCGCAGCGGCCGGAAGCGCGAUCACUUUGUCUGCGUCGCCACGAUCGGCUUGCAGACGUUGCCGGAGCGGCUGCAGGCGAAUCGGCGGUGUGAGAGCAGCGUCUCCCUUGUGUGGGACUUGAGCGACCCGAUGCAUCCUCGCUACUUGCUCGAGGCCCCAGAGGAGGUCCAGGUGCUCCACUUCCAUCCAUCGGAGCCCAACUUGGUUGCCGGCGGCUCCCUCAACGGCCAGGUUUUUCUCUGGGAUCUCAGCAAGGCCGACGUCGCCAGCUUCUUCUCCAGUGCGAAACAGCACAAACAGAAGCAGAAAUCCAACACGGCAGCGGCUGCCGCUGUGGACGGUGGCGGCGGGGAGACAGGAGAAUUUCGGGAUGUGGGCGAGGUGCCUCGCAUGCCGGACAGCCUUAAGGGUGUUAGCCUCGAGGUCGACGGCGAUGUUCAGGUGCCUUGUCUGCAGCCGUUUCAGCAGUCGCGCGUCGAGGUGUCGCACCAGGGCCCGGUGCAUGACCUGCAAUGGCUACCCGACAGGCUUGAGUUCGGCUUUGACGGCAAGCAGACGGUCGUGAACGAGACCCACCAGUUCGCCACCAUCAGCGAAGAUGGCACGAUGCUUGUGUGGGACACGCGCCCGCAGUAUCUGCCGCAGGAUAAACUGCGCAAGAUAAAGCAUCAAAGCCGCAGCGGCGGAGGCGAGCAGCCGUGGGUGCCGCUGCUGCGCUAUCAGCUGACGAAGCCGGACGGCACGGGCGAGAUGCCGGGUUUUCGCUUCUUCUUAAGCGGAUGCACAGUGGAUGCGGCCCCUUCCUAUGCGGCUGCGGUCGCCAGUGCUGACGGCGAGCUUGGGUUCUGCUCCAUGAUCACUCAGCACGAGCGGCGAUCCUCGAUCGUCGUCCCCACCUUCGGGUACACGAAAGACACGCGGUUCGUGCGGUCGGUGGCGCCGGUGGCGCACGCCGGGCCCGUCUACUCCGUGCAACAGCACCCGACGAUUGGAGACGUGUAUCUGACCUGCGGUGAUGGCUGCUUCAAGGUUUGGCGCUAUGGGCUUCUCAUGCCGCUGUACGAAUGCCCGCAGAGGCCUGGGAGUGUCAUGUGUGCGGCUUGGUCUCCAGCCCGCCCCGGACUCAUUAUCAUCGGCACGGGCAAUGGCAUGGUGGAGGUGUGGGACCUGCUCGACCGAAACCCCGAACCGAUGCUGACACAUCACUUAGUUCAGGAUGCCAUCACAUCCAUCGCCUUCCAGCCGUUGCCGCACCGCGUGACACGUCGGUACUCGCAGCAGCUGCUGCUCGGCACCAACCUCGGCUCUUUUCACUGGUACAUCCUGCCCCCGGCGCUGUCGCGCGCGUCCAGCGGGGAGAGGAAAUAUAUGCGCGCUAUGCUUGAGCGUGAGACGCGGCGCGUCGCCUACUACGACUGGCGCUGGUCCGAGCGACAGUCUGAGAUCGAUCGCUUUGGCCUCCAAGGUGCAGCGGCACGGCUGCGCGGCACGAUUGCGCAGACGGCGUCGAGCAGCGGCGUGGCUGGGGUGCCCGGGAAGGAGAAGAGUGAGUCGGAUGACCCAUUACUCGUCGAGCGUCGGCCAGACAAGGAGGCGGCGGACUUGAGGGAUCUGGACAACCCGUACGCGCAGGACCCUCAGCGAGAUGAGGAGUUCCUGGAGAUGGUGGAGAAGCUGCAUCAGAAGGAACUGGAACACAUGGAGUUGGAGUCGGCCGCCUGAGUCGCUUGAAGCAGCCGUGUGGCGCGCUUCCUGGCCUUCGCUGCAGGCCCCCUUCUCCCGAUGUUUGGCGACGGAGUCCGCACUUGCCUUUUUUUUCUUGGUGUGUCUGUGUGCGUCUGCGUGUGAGUUGCUGAUGGUGGGGUAUUCGUGUAUCUUCUGCCUCCCCCCUGCUGCGUGGGGUUGCCGCCGCGCGGCAUGACAUUAGUGCGAGGCGUGCUGAGGUUUCUCGUCCGUGUCCUUCCACGCCUCCACGCCGAAGUGCCCUCGUCGUGCUUUCUUCCAUCUCUUCGCACCUUGGCGAUUGCGCCUGCGCGUUGCAGCUCUGCAGAUUGCAGGACCGAGUGAUGCACCACCCCAGUUGAAUGUACAUAGAUCUUCCCCCUUCUCGCUUUAUGUACGGUGCGAUGGCGAGUGAAAAGAAGGAUGCAGAUGCGGAUGUGUGUUUGCGUGCGUGCGUCUGAUUGUGCGCGCCUGUGAUGUAGUAAAAAAAGCCCACGGCUGCUGCUUGCCGUGCGACGACCUUGCUCACCUGCCCUGCUUCACCGCGCGUGCACCUUGUAUAGCAGCGAAGAGAGAGAACGGGUGGAGCAGGGGGAAGCUGAAAGGUUUCAUGGCCGCGCCACUCUCAAGCUUGCAUGUAGUCUCACACAAAAUAGACAGGCAUUAGAACGAAGCAUCCUUUUGCCAGAGUCGCUCCACUAGUUUU
rnacentral:misc_RNA from 1 species